rnacentral:rRNA from 1 species
GACGAACGCUGGCGCGCGGCCGUAACACAUGCAAGUCGAACGAGAGAGAGGAAGCGUUGCGUUCCUUAAAGUCGAGUGGCGAACGGGUGAGUAACGCGUGAGGAACCUGCCUCAAAGAGGGGGACAACAGUUGGAAACGACUGCUAAUACCGCAUAAGCCCACAGCUCGGCAUCGAGCAGAGGGAAAAGGAGUGAUCCGCUUUGAGAUGGCCUCGCGUCCGAUUAGCUGGUUGGUGAGGUAACGGCCCACCAAGGCAACGAUCGGUAGCCGGACUGAGAGGUUGAACGGCCACAUUGGGACUGAGACACGGCCCAG